UCAGUAAGAGCGGGCGGGGCCAUUUCUAAAUUUUAUGUGUGACGCUUCCAGCUAUUUUUAGCUGUACAAAACAGCUCGUUUUGCGGCUUGGAAUUGCAAACUGCGGCUCAUGAACCGGAAGUCUUGCCCAUUCACAGAAGCGUUGAAAAAGAGCAUUAAUGUCCUGGAAGUAAGGCACUCGCAUUUCAACGGGCAAACACCUCUUUG